rnacentral:rRNA from 1 species
UACGGAGGGGGCAAGCGUUGUCCGGAAUCAUUGGGCGUAAAGCGCGUGUAGGCGGUCCGGUAAGUCCGCUGUAAAAGUCAAGGGCUCAACCCUUGAAAGCCGGUGGAUACUGGCGGGCUAGAGUCCGGAAGAGGCGAGUGGAACUCCUGGUGUAGCGGUGAAAUGCGCAGAUAUCAGGAAGAACACCUACGGCGAAGGCAGCUCGCUGGGACGGUACUGACGCUGAGACGCGAAAGCGAGGGGAGCGAACAGG